rnacentral:rRNA from 1 species
UACGGGGGGGGCAAGCGUUGUUCGGAAUUACUGGGCGUAAAGGGCUCGUAGGUGGCCAAUUAAGUCAGGCGUGAAAUCCCCAGGCUCAACUUGGGAACUGCGUCUGAUACUGGUUGGCUUGAAUUCGGGAGAGGGAUGCAGAAUUCCAGGUGUAGCGGUGGAAUGCGCAGAUAUCAGGAGGAACACCGAUGGCGAAGGCAGGUCUCUGGGCCACUACUGACGCUGAGAAGCGAAAGCAUGGGGAGCGAACAGG